UAACCCUUGUGGAGGAGGACGCCGAAGGUGGGGCUAAUGACUGGGGUGAAGUCGUAACAAGGUAGCCGUACCGGAAGGUGCGGCUGGAUCACCUCCUAACAGGGAGACAACAAAAUGUUUAAUAUUAUUAUUUUGUCACCUUAGGUCGAUCGGUAUCUCACAUUCUUAAUUUAUUAAGGAUUUCAUUUCCUAAGUUUUUCUAGGUCACACCCAUUAUUUUUCCUGGGCCAUUAGCUCAGGUGGUUAGAGCGCACCCCUGAUAAGGGUGAGGUCCCUGGUUCAAGUCCAGGAUGGCCCAUAUCUCUAUGUUGGGGGUAUAGCUCAGUUGGUAGAGCGCCUGCUUUGCAAGCAGGAUGUCAGCGGUUCGAGUCCGCUUACCUCCACUGAUUACCACCUCUUCCAUAAUCUUUAGAAAGGGAAUUUUUUGAGUCGUGACCAAAUCCUGAAAGAAUCUAGCUUCCUAAUGAAAUCAUUAAGAUGCUGGACUCAUUGAAUUAAUUUCAUUGUUUUCAGAGAACCUUGACAACUGCAUAGAUUAUUUUUUUUAAAGACAAUAAGCAUCUUUAAUGAUGCAGAUUUAUUAUUUGUGCGAAUGCAUUAAUAACAAUUCUAUUAAGCUGAUGCUUCAAUUUUUGAAGUUAUUGGUCAAGCUACAAAGGGCUCACGGAGGAUACCUAGGCACACAGA
rnacentral:misc_RNA from 1 species